rnacentral:rRNA from 1 species
CCUACGGGAGGCAGCAGUGAGGAAUAUUGGUCAAUGGACGAGAGUCUGAACCAGCCAAGUAGCGUGAAGGAUGACUGCCCUAUGGGUUGUAAACUUCUUUUAUAUGGGAAUAAAACGUUCCACGUGUGGGAUUUUGUAUGUACCAUAUGAAUAAGGAUCGGCUAACUCCGUGCCAGCAGCCGCGGUAAUACGGAGGAUCCGAGCGUUAUCCGGAUUUAUUGGGUUUAAAGGGAGCGUAGGUGGAUUGUUAAGUCAGUUGUGAAAGUUUGCGGCUCAACCGUAAAAUUGCAGUUGAAACUGGCAGUCUUGAGUACAGUAGAGGUGGGCGGAAUUCGUGGGGUAGCGGUGAAAUGCUUAGAUAUCACGAAGAACUCCGAUUGCGAAGGCAGUUCACUGGACUGCAACUGACACUGAGGCUCGAAAGUGUGGGUAUCAAACAGGAUUAGAUACCCCUGUAGUC